UACGUAGGCAGCAAGCGUUGUUCGGAAUUACUGGGCGUAAAGCGUGUGUAGGCGGUUGGGUAAGUCUGGUGUGAAAUCUCCCGGCUCAACUGGGAGGGUGCGCCGGAAACUGCCUGGCUAGAGUGCGGAAGAGGAGAGUGGAAUUCCCGGUGUAGCGGUGAAAUGCGUAGAUAUCGUUUGGAACGCCAAUGGUGAAAACAGGUUGCUGGGAGUGUGCUGACGCUGAGACACGAAAGCCAGGGGAGCAAACGGG
rnacentral:rRNA from 1 species